UUAAGGAAAAACCUCUUUUUAGCCAUUUUUGAAACUUGUCAAAGCAAGAGACUUGUCCAGCCCGGCUUCCCCAUUCCUCCUGGCUCCUGAGGCUCAGAGACCUUGGCCACCGCCCCACCUGCCCGGGUCCUGCAGCGUUGCCACUGCUCAGCCAUGCCCCUGCUGCUCUUCCUGGUGCUUGAGGGGAUUUUUGCCCUUGGAGGGACCAGGGCCCAGACGGUGACUCAGCCUGACCUUCACGUCACUGUCACUGAAGGAGCCUCUCUGGAGCUGAAAUGCAGCUACACAGCUUCUUUUACACCAACCGUCUGGUGGUAUGUGCAAUACCCCAACCAAGGACUCCAGCUUCUCCUGAAGUACAUAUCAGGGAGCACCCUGGUUAAAGGCAUCCAAGGUUUCGAGGCUGAAUUCAGGAAGAAUGAAACCUCCUUUCACCUGAAGAAACACUCAGCCCAUUUGAGCGACUCAGCCCAGUACUUCUGUGCUGUGCGGGACACAGUGCCUGGGGCUGCAGGGGGAGCUGAACACAAACCUGCCGAGACACUAGGACUUCCUGUGACUCAAGGACUCAAUGUAAGAGGAGGAGAGAAUGUGGGGCUGCACCCUCCUACCCUGAGUGUCCAGGAAGGAGACACCUCUGUUAUCAACUGUUCUUAUUCAGACAGUGCCUCCAGCUACCUCCUUUGGUAUAAGCAGAAACUUGGAAAAAGUCCUCAAUCCAUUAUAGACAUUCGUUCAAAUAUGGGCAAAAAGCAAAAAGGAAGAUUCACCGUUUUCUUGAGGCAGCAGCAGCAGCAGCAGCAGCACAUAGCCCAGUAA